rnacentral:rRNA from 1 species
ACGCACGCUGGCGGCGUGCUUAACACAUGCAAGUCGAACGGAAAGGCCCUGCUUUUGUGGGGUGCUCGCGUGGCGAACGGGUGAGUAACACGUGAGUAACCUGCCCUUGACUUUGGGAUAACUUCAGGAAACUGGGGCUAAUACCGGAUAGGAGCUCCUGCUGCAUGGUGGGGGUUGGAAGGUUUCGGCGGUUGGGGAUGGACUCGCGGCUUAUCAGCUUGUUGGUGGGGUAGUGGCUUACCAAGGCUUUGACGGGUAGCCGGCCUGAGAGGGUGACCGGCCACAUUGGGACUGAGAUACGGCCCAGACUCCUACGGGAGGCAGCAGUGGGGAAUAUUGCACAAUGGGCGGAAGCCUGAUGCAGCAACGCCGCGUGCGGGAUGACGGCCUUCGGGUUGUAAACCGCUUUCGCCUGUGACGAAGCGUGAGUGACGGUAAUGGGUAAAGAAGCACCGGCUAACUACGUG